GGACCCAUAGGGACCCAUAGAGACCCCACAGAGACCCAUAGAGACCCCAUAGAGAUCCAUAGAGACCCCAUAGAGACCCCAUAGGGACCCCAUAGAGACCCACAGGGACCCAUAGAGACCCAAAGGGAGCCAUAGAGACCCCAUAGAGACCCCAUAUGGACCCAUAGAAACAUCAUAGAAACCCAUAGAGACCCCAUAGAGCCCCAUAGGGACCCAUAGAGACCCAUAGAGACCCCAUAGAGACACAUAGGGACCCAUAGAGACCCAUAGAGACCCCACAGAAAUCCAUAGAGACCCCAUAGAGACACAUAGAGACACAUAGAAACCCAUAGGGACACAUAGAGACCCAUAGAGACCCAUAGAGACCCAUAGAGACCCCACAGAGACCCAUAGAGUCCCCAUAGAGAUCCAUAGAGACCCCAUAGAGACCCCAUAGGGACCCAUAGAGACCCAUAGAGACACAUAGAGACCCAUAGGGACCCAUAGGGACUCCAUAGGGACUCCAUAGGGACCCAUAGAGACCCAAAGGGACCCAUAGGGACUGAUAGGGACCCAUAGAGACCCAUAGAGGCCCCAUAGAGACCCUUUGGGGUCACAGCCGGGGAUCAUUCAUUGGGGUCCCUCAUUGGGGUCAUUCAUUGGGGUCAUUAACUGGGGUCAUUAAUUGGGGUGACUAAUUAGCAUGGCUAAUUGGGGUCACAUUGGGGUCCCUUUGGGGUCACAGAUGGGGAUCAUUCAUUGGGGUUCCUCAUUGAGGCCAUUCAUUGGGGCCCUUAAUUGGGGUCAUUAAUUGGGGUCAUUAACUGGGGUCAUUAAUUGGGGUGACUAAUUAGCAUGGCUAAUUGGGGUCACAUUGGGGUCCCUUUGGGGUCACAGAUGGGGAUCAUUCAUUGGGGUCCCUCAUUGGGGUCAUUCAUUGGGGCCAUUCAUUGGGGCCAUUCAUUGGGCUCAUUAAUUGGGGUUCCCCGUUAAUUGGGGUUAAUUAAUAGUGCCGACUCACUCUCCGCCCCCCCCCCGCGGCUCUGGGGCGGCUCUGUGUGCCCAGGGGGGGUCGCAGCGCUCCCGCAGCGUGGCUCAGAGCAUGGCACCACCUGGGGGGGGACCCCAAAAAUGAGACCCCCCCCAAAUUGGGGACCCCACCCCCAAAAUGGGACACCCCCUCCACAAUGGACCCCCCCCCAAAUUGGGACC
rnacentral:lncRNA from 1 species